rnacentral:rRNA from 1 species
AGAGUUUGAUCAUGGCUCAGGACGAACGCUGGCGGUAUGCUUAAGACAUGCAAGUCGAACGAACGAUGUUUUAGCUUGCUAAAACAAAGUUAGUGGCGGACGGGUGAGUAACGCGUGAGCAACCUGCCUCUUUCAUCGGGAUACCAAUUGGAAACGAUUGCUAAUACCGAAUAUGACCACAGCACGGCAUCGUGCAGGGGUGAAAGGGUUUACUGGAAAGAGAUGGGCUCGCGUCUGAUUAGCUAGUUGGUGGGGUAACGGCCUACCAAGGCGACGAUCAGUAGCCGAACUGAGAGGUUGAUCGGCCACAUUGGGACUGAGAACGGCCCAGACUCCUACGGGAGGCAGCAGUCGGGAAUAUUGGGCAAUGGAGGAAACUCUGACCCAGCAAUACCGCGUGAAGGACGAAGGUCUUCGGAUUGUAAACUUCUGUUAUAAAGGAAGAAAAAAAUGACGGUACUUUAUAAGUAAGCCCCGGCAAACUACGUGCCAGCAGCCGCGGUGAUACGUAGGGGGCAAGCGUUGUCCGGAAUGACUGGGUGUAAAGGGUGUGUAGGUGGCUUAUUAAGUUGAAAGUGAAAGCCCGGGGCUUAACCCCGGAACUGCUUUCAAUACUGGUUGGCUUGAGUGUGGGAGAGGUUAGUGGAACUCCUAGUGUAGCGGUGGAAUGCGUAGAUAUUAGGAAGAACAUCAGAGGCGAAGGCGACUAACUGGAACAUUACUGACACUGAAACACGAAAGCGUGGGGAGCAAACAGGAUUAGAUACCCUGGUAGUCCACGCUGUAAACGAUGAGUACUA